GUGUGAGACCUUCUUGAAUAUAAUGGUUAUCUAAGUAGGAAAAUAUCUGGAGGCUUCGUCAGGCUGCAGGCUGGUUCCACAGCCUGUGUUCCCUACCUGCUUGGUGCCUGGGGCCUUCUCUGUCGCCACAGGCAUAGUGCUGCUCACACUAUGGUUUGUGUCUCGACUGUGCCACUUCCUCUCAAGAGAUGUGGGUCCUUGGAACAUCUUUAGUACUGGAGCUCAGGAUGCAGGCAGCUCUGCCGCAGUGGCAGAACAGAACCUCUGGAAUGGAUGGACUCUUCCCGAGCAGCUUGGCUAAUGUGCAGCAACUGGACAGUGUUCCUCUUUAAUAUCUGUCUGUCAGCAUAACCAUCACAUCAUUUCGCUCUGGUGGCAGGAACUCACAUCUCUGAAUUCUGUAUAGAAAAGUUCUUGGAUCCCAGUCUUAUGAUGGCUUCAGGACAACCAAAAGUGCCUGCUCUUAAGCCAGCAGCUAGGCAAGAUGUCCCUGCCCAUUGGGAUGUACCGUUGGUGCCCUCGAGGACCCUGCACCUAUGACUACUCCUCCUUCGGACAUGGGCAGCAUCUCCUGGAAGCCAGUGAUUCCAAAGCCCAAGAAUCAACACCUUGCCAACACCCUGCUGUACCCCUGCCACCAGCCACUGACAGUGCAUACAGGGUCCCCUGGUGAAGCUAAAGCUGCCCAUGUCAUCAUGAGUUCUCUGAUCACAAAACAGACCCAAGAGAGAAUUCAGCAUUUU